rnacentral:rRNA from 1 species
GACAGAGGUGCCGAGCGUUAGGCGGAAUCACUGGGCUUAAAGCGUGUGUAGGCGGAUCUGUAAGUACCUUGUGAAAUCCCACGGCUCAACCGUGGAACUGCUGGGUAUACUGCGGAUCUUGAGCCACCUAGGGGCGAGCGGAACAAGUGGUGGAGCGGUGAAAUGCGUAGAUAUCACUUGGAACGCCAAUGGUGAAAACAGCUCGCUGGGGGUGUGCUGACGCUGAGACACGAAAGCCAGGGGAGGCGAAACGGG